rnacentral:RNase_P_RNA from 1 species
CUGGUGUGGCUAGUGGUUGCUUGGGGUUUUUGAUCUCAAGAGGAAAGUCCGAGCUACGAUAGAACGGGGUUUCAUCUAACGGAUGACGAGGGUAACCUUAGGGAAAGUGCAACAGAAAGUAAACUACCAUUUUACAUGUGAAAUGGAAAAGGUGAAAGGGUGGUGUAAGAGACCACCAGCAUUUGUGGCAACAUGAGUGGCUUGUAAACCCAACCUUGUAGCAAGGAGGGAUGGUUUUGUUCUAUAUUUUUGCCCUCCGCUUGAGUUUUAUGGCUACAUAAAACCUAGAUAAAUAACCACUCACGACAGAACUCGGCUUACGCCACACCAGAUCU